rnacentral:lncRNA from 1 species
AAAGGCAAGUCGCUGGACUUGAUCUGAGUGAAAUCAGAUACUGUGUUCCCUCCCUUGGAUGGAUGAUACACUCUGAAGUUGCUGAUUGCGCGCUAUAGCAGAAAAAGCAAUCUGCAGAGUACAAGAAUCUAGAGUACGAGAAAAAGCCCAGACCUCUCUGCUUGAUGAGACUUUUAUCAACCAUGUGGAACAACUUUAGGUUACUCAAUCACUGCAGCACUGAAAUAUUUUAAAAUUCCGAGCCAUGUGUUGCCACACACUAAACACAGAUUCAGCAAACCUUCCACUGUGGCAUGGUAGAGAACCCCAGGCUAAGGAUUAACAGACAUUCUGAAUUUGCAAACCAGAAAGAGCUGCACUUCAUCACUGCUUCAAGAAGGCACCUGGGACGGGAAGGCCUUCUGCUUUUCUGUCUUCCUCUCUGUGCUGUGAAGACGCAAGAACGAAGCGUAAGCAGCUGUGCUUGGUCAGAGGAAGGGUUCCGGGAAAGCCACACAGAAGAGAUAGCAUUGGACUGCGACCAGGACUAAAAAGAUGAUGUUGCCUUGGCAGACAACUGGAAAAACAUCAUAAGCAGAGAGAACAAUGUCUAAAAUAUCAACCAAGGUAUUUUGCAACCAGUUACGACUCUGAUUCUGAUUUUCAUGCUUCCUACCUCUUUCACCUUGGAGUACUGCACUCCCCUCAAUCCUCACCCAAGCUGUUGGGUUGACACAGGAGGAAAGUGAAGCCCAGAGGACAUAAUUUAUCUCCCUCCUUGAUACUGGCAUAUGAAGAAGCUGAGACAGAAGCUGAAGGAAUGGCCACAGGCGCCAAGGAUGGCCAAGGAGGCCCUUGAUGCUUCUGGUCCUGCUGGGACCACUGAACACACAUGGACCUCUCUGCAACUUGAGCACGGGAGGGUCAGGCUGGGUGACAAAGGCAUGAGCAGAGCUGCCCAGGGUGUCUCUGUGCAUGUUCAUCCCAGUCUUAGCAGAGCACAAUUUCAAUCCACGUUUCAGAUUCACCCAGAUGCCUUGGAUAAUUUGUUUUGGAAAACAUAUAUUGAAGUUACCAGAGCCACAGUAUGA